GACGAACGCUGGCGGCGCGCUUAACACAUGCAAGUCGAACGGAAAGGCCUGCUUUCCCUUGUGGAUUGCGGGUACUCGAGUGGCGAACGGGUGAGUAACACGUGAGUGAUCUGCCCCCAACUUGGGUAUAAGCCUGGGAAACUGGGUCUAAUUCCCGAUAGGACUGCAGGGUGGUGCCUGUGGUGGAAAACGAUUUUCUAGUGGUUGGGGAUGAGCUCGCGGCCUAUCAGCUUGUUGGUGGGGUAAUGGCCUACCAAGGCGGCGACAGGUAGCCGGCCUGAGAGGGUGGACGGCCACAUUGGGACUGAGAUACGGCCCAGACUCCUACGGGAGGCAGCAGUGGGGAAUAUUGCACAAUGGGCGGAAGCCUGAUGCAGCGACGCCGCGUGGGGGAUGACGGCCUUCGGGUUGUAAACUCCUUUCGACCGCGAGGAAGCCACCUGGUUGGAAGGGUGGUGACGGUAGUGGUAGAAGAAGCACCGGCUAACUACGUG
rnacentral:rRNA from 1 species